GGCGGACGGGUGAGUAACGCGUAAGAACUUGCCCUUUAGACUGGGAUAACAGAGGGAAACUUCUGAUAAUACUGGAUAAGUUAGUAUAUCGCAUGAUAUGCAAAUGAAAGCUACGGCACUAAAGGAGAGCUUUGCGUCCUAUUAGCUAGUUGGUAAGGUAAGAGCUUACCAAGGCGAUGAUAGGUAGCCGGCCUGAGAGGGUGGACGGCCACAAGGGGACUGAGAUACGGCCCUUACUCCUACGGGAGGCAGCAGAG
rnacentral:rRNA from 1 species